rnacentral:lncRNA from 1 species
AGAGCCGCGCACCAAGCCGAUGGCGGUGGACGCAGCAGGGCCCCGCGGUCUGAGUGCGGGCAGGCGCGCGUGGGCGUGUCUCCCUGGCCCACGCGUGUCCCCGGCAUCAGUGUCUCGGCUCUGGUCCAGGACGAAGACUUCUGAAAGCGAGCCAAGGAGAAUCACAGUUCUUAACGGAGCCCCUGACUGCCCGGUGGAAGGAGGUGAUUUAGAAGACAGUGAGACUCAGCUACUGUUCCCAUCGAGAUGCAAAGGACACAGAGCUCACGGGUGCUCCAGCAAUGCUGGUGUCAUGUUUGGAGGUAGCUGUCUAUGGACUACAGUAUUCUCCCAGUGCUAGUCUGCAGUCACUGCAAAGGUGAGGUGCUUCUGUGUCACUAGCUUUGUUGAAAAUGCUUAAUAUUGCAAGGCAUUCUUGAAUAUUUGCUACUGUAAUCAAAGAAUAGAAACAAUGAAAUAAAUUUUAUGUGUUAACUCUUUUUUUCUAAAAUAAAAUGUCUUCAUUGGAUUGAAUGAACAUUGAUUAUUAAAAAGAGCUCUAAAAAUUCUUUUGCUUUCAUGAUUCUUGUAGCAAUCAGAUAUCAGUCCUAAAAUCACAUUCUUACCUGCCUCUAUUAUACUUAUAGAGAAAAACGAUGACUAGCAUCCACAUACACUGUUCGAUUCUCUCUAUUACAGCCUCCCAAUAGAACAUUUCUUCCUGAGCCAACCUAUCAGUGCAGCUCUGGAAGCAAAUGACCUCUCCUGGCAGAGCCUUCACUGUGUGGGGAACAUCAGAUUUGUGUAAAGAAGAUCACCUGUCUCUUCUCAGGUGUGCACUGUAGAGAAGCUGCUGCGAAGGCCACAGGUCACUCAGGAAAAUUUGGGGCAGUUUUCUAGGUUCAAGGGAGACUGGACAUCAAAGCUGCACUGGGACAUAUGGACGCCUUGAUCCACUUUGGCCAUUCCACCUCAGCUCAGAAUUACUCACUGGUGUCAGGAUGUUUCUUGGCUUCAAACCAUUUGGAUAAGUGAUGGCAGCAAGCUUCGCCACUGUAAAGUCACCUCUUUGUAAGAAGACAGGAGCUCUUUGUAAAGAAUAUGAGACCUGAGGCUGGGGGAUGGCUGAGAAGGGAAAAGCACCUCUGCACAAGCGUGAGAAAAGGAGUUUGUUCUUCCACAUCCAUGUAGAAAUCUUGAUGCCGUGCCGUGAACCCCAGCUCUCCUACGGGAAGAUGGGAGGCGUAGACAGGAGUUCAUCUGGAAGCUUGAGGCCAGCCACCCAGAUCCUCAGAGCUGCAGACAAAAGAGAGGCCCUGCAGCAAAAGAGUGGAAGGUGAGAACCAACUCCGGAAAGUUGCCCUCUGACCUUUACAAGUGUAUACAUCCACACACAUACAAUAAAAUCAAUUGCUCAAUCACG